GAGGAAUAUUGGUCAAUGGACGGAAGUCUGAACCAGCCAAGUAGCGUGCAGGAUGACGGCCCUAUGGGUUGUAAACUGCUUUUGUAUGGGGAUAAAGUUAGGGACGUGUCCCUAUUUGCAGGUACCAUACGAAUAAGGACCGGCUAAUUCCGUGCCAGCAGCCGCGGUAAUACGGAAGGUCCAGGCGUUAUCCGGAUUUAUUGGGUUUAAAGGGAGCGUAGGCUGGAGAUUAAGUGUGUUGUGAAAUGUAGACGCUCAACGUCUGAAUUGCAGCGCAUACUGGUUUCCUUGAGUACGCACAACGUUGGCGGAAUUCGUCAUGUAGCGGUGAAAUGCUUAGAUAUGACGAAGAACUCCGAUUGCGAAGGCAGCUGACGGGAGCGCAACUGACGCUUAAGCUCGAAGGUGCGGGUAUCAAACAGGAUUAGAUACCCUGGUAGUCCGCACAGUAAACGAUGGAUGCCCGCUGUUGGUACCUGGUAUCAGCGGCUAAGCGAAAGCAUUAAGCAUCCCACCUGGGGAGUACGCCGGCAACGGUG
rnacentral:rRNA from 1 species